UACCACCCGCCUCCGUUCGAGCGAACGGGGGGACGCAGGAGGAUAGGGAGAGCGCACCAUUGGAUGUGUGCGUCCAAGCUGUGAGCGCGUCGGAUAGGCAAAUCCGUCCGGCAAGCGCAAGCAGUGACGGGGAGAGAAAAUGAGUAUCGAAGCUCCUGAUUUCACACUGCCAAGAAAAGCCUCUAGCGAGGAUGGCGGGUGCCCGUACCGCAAACCAACACAGGUAGGCGAGGAGAGUAUCCU
rnacentral:rRNA from 1 species